rnacentral:rRNA from 1 species
UACGAAGGGGGGCUAGCGUUGCUCGGAAUCACUGGGCGUAAAGCGCACGUAGGCGGCUUUCUAAGUCAGGGGUGAAAUCCUGGAGCUCAACUCCAGAACUGCCUUUGAUACUGGAGAGCUUGAGUCCGGAAGAGGUGAGUGGAACUCCGAGUGUAGAGGUGAAAUGCGUAGAUAUCGGGAGGAACACCUGCGGUGUAGACGGCUUACUGGACCAUAACUGACGCUGAGGCACGAAAGCGUGGGUAGCAAACAGG